GCAACGAGCGCUACCCUUGCCCCGUGUUACUAACAGGUCAAGCUGACGACUCUCGGGGGACUGCCGGCGUCAAGCCGGAGGAAGGUGGGGACGACGUCAAGUCAUCAUGGCCCAUGUGCCCAGGGCCACUCCCGUGUUGCAAUGGCCAGGACAGAGGGCAGCAAGACGGCAAGGUGGAGAGAAUCCCAGAAGCGUGGUUCUAGUUCGGAGAGUGGAAUUCAAAUCGCCGGCAUGAAGCCGGAAUCGCUAGUAAU
rnacentral:rRNA from 1 species